ensembl:lncRNA
UACGUUUGUCCACCCUCGCUGGUCGACUUGCAAAACUGGUCUGGACCCUCGACGCCCCAGAGGUCUUUCACCUGAAACUGAUGUCUUCUCUUCAGCUUCUGGCAAGAAGAAAUGUCCAGCUGACUUGUUCUGUCCAACUAGAGGUUUCACAGGGAAAUGGGUUUGUUCUAGAACAGGCAUGUUCGUGGACAGAGCAACAGGGCAUUCAUGCAGAGAUGUUUGUUUGUCCACCCUCACUAACUGACUUGCAAGUCUAGGCAGUGGGGGUAAGGAAAGGUGAGCAUUAGCUUUCAGAUCAGACUUGCAUGAAGAUUCUGUGACAUUUUUCUCUGCCACAUCCAUUAAAUAGGUAGGAGGUCUUGGCCCGUGACGUCCUGGAGGAUUUUCACCUGAAGCUGGCUUCUUUUGUCCAGUCUCAGGCAAAAAGGGAGGUCUGCCAAAAAUCUGUUUGCCUAGGCAUAGCAUAGAUUGACUCUGGAGAGUAUUUCUGUCUCUGCACCACAUGUUGAAAUGCUGGAGUAAAG